AACAUUCAACGCUGUCGGUGA
rnacentral:ncRNA from 4 species